rfam:Ixodes scapularis strain Wikel colony gcontig_1108378712934, whole genome shotgun sequence.
UAAACGGCCCUUCUCAGGGCCCCCCUAUUUUGGAAACGGAGGUGUUU